CAGUAAAUAGUUUAUUUAAAAUAUUAAUUUUGGAGAUUAAAGAUAAGUUAUGACUUUUUACUGA
rnacentral:tRNA from 1 species